AUUCCAUUGAAGUAUUAAUUAGCAAGAUAGCAAUUGAACCCUUUUUGAGCAUCGAAAAUUCAAGACAAACAUCAAUUUUUAAAGCCUAUUUUGUUGUGUUCCUUGCUGAUCAUCAAAACAGAAGGGGACGACGUCAUCGAGGAACCUUUCUAGCGAUCGCGGAGAAACGGACUUAGCUCCUUGAAGCAUCUUUGUUUGAUUACAGAUCGAAACCGGCCGGGAACGAUGGGUUAGCGAUGUUGAUUAGAGUGCCAAGGAUAUCAUUUUGAGCUGAGCACGUGGGAAUUUAUAGUUUUGUAUAAGGAUUUUGAUAGAUUUAUAUUAGUC